rnacentral:rRNA from 1 species
AGAGUUUGAUCCUGGCUCAGGAUGAACGCUGGCGGCGUGCUUAACACAUGCAAGUCGAACGAAGCACUUUAUUUGAUUUCCUUCGGGACUGAUUAUUUUGUGACUGAGUGGCGGACGGGUGAGUAACGCGUGGGUAACCUGCCUUGUACAGGGGGAUAACAGUUGGAAACGGCUGCUAAUACCGCAUAAGCGCACAGCAUCGCAUGAUGCAGUGUGAAAAACUCCGGUGGUAUAAGAUGGACCCGCGUUGGAUUAGCUAGUUGGUGAGGUAACGGCCCACCAAGGCGACGAUCCAUAGCCGACCUGAGAGGGUGACCGGCCACAUUGGGACUGAGACACGGCCCAAACUCCUACGGGAGGCAGCAGUGGGGAAUAUUGCACAAUGGGGGAAACCCUGAUGCAGCGACGCCGCGUGAGCGAAGAAGUAUUUCGGUAUGUAAAGCUCUAUCAGCAGGGAAGAAAAUGACGGUACCUGACUAAGAAGCCCCGGCUAACUACGUGCCAGCAGCCGCGGUAAUACGUAGGGGGCAAGCGUUAUCCGGAUUUACUGGGUGUAAAGGGAGCGUAGACGGUGUGGCAAGUCUGAUGUGAAAGGCAUGGGCUCAACCUGUGGACUGCAUUGGAAACUGUCAUACUUGAGUGCCGGAGGGGUAAGCGGAAUUCCUAGUGUAGCGGUGAAAUGCGUAGAUAUUAGGAGGAACACCAGUGGCGAAGGCGGCUUACUGGACGGUAACUGACGUUGAGGCUCGAAAGCGUGGGGAGCAAACAGGAUUAGAUACCCUGGUAGUCCACGCCGUAAACG